rnacentral:rRNA from 1 species
AGCGAACGCUGGCGGCAGGCCUAACACAUGCAAGUCGAACGAACCUUUCGGGGUUAGUGGCGGACGGGUGAGUAACACGUGGGAACGUGCCUUUAGGUUCGGAAUAACUCAGGGAAACUUGUGCUAAUACCGAAUGUGCCCUUCGGGGGAAAGAUUAAUCGCCUUUAGAGCGGCCCACGUCUGAUUAGCUAGUUGGUUGAGGUAAUGGCUCACCAAGGCGACGAUCAGUAGCUGGUCUGAGAGGAUGAUCAGCCACAUUGGGACUGAGACACGGCCCAAACUCCUACGGGAGGCAGCAGUGGGGAAUCUUGCGCAAUGGGCGAAAGCCUGACGCAGCCAUGCCGCGUGAAUGAUGAAGGUCUUAGGAUUGUAAAAUUCUUUCACCGGGGACGAUAAUGACGGUACCCGGAGAAGAAGCCCCGGCUAACUUCGUG